GGGGAUGUAGCUCAGUGGUAGAAUGGUUGUUUAGCAAGCACUAGGCCCUGGGUUCCAUUCCCAGCUCCCCCA
rnacentral:tRNA from 1 species